AUUGAACGCUGGCGGCAUGCCUUACACAUGCAAGUCGAACGGUAACGGGCCUUCGGGUGCCGACGAGUGGCGAACGGGUGAGUAAUGUAUCGGAACGUACCUUUCAGUGGGGGAUAACGUAGCGAAAGUUACGCUAAUACCGCAUAUUCUGUGAGCAGGAAAGCAGGGGAUCGCAAGACCUUGCGCUGAUUGAGCGGCCGAUAUCAGAUUAGCUAGUUGGUGAGGUAAAGGCUCACCAAGGCGACGAUGUCUAGGGGUUCUGAGAGGAAGGUCCCCCACACUGGUACUGAGACACGGACCAGACUCCUACGGGAGGCAGCAGUGAGGAAUAUUGGUCAAUGGGCGCGAGCCUGAACCAGCCAUCCCGCGUGCAGGAAGAAGGCCCUAUGGGUUGUAAACUGCUUUUGUGCAGGAAUAAAUGUACCCUCGUGAGGGUAUUUGAAGGUACUGCCAGAAUAAGCACCGGCUAACUCCGUGCCAGCAGCCGCGGU
rnacentral:rRNA from 1 species